rnacentral:lncRNA from 1 species
CGAGCUUCCUGGCUGCUUUGUUUACCUACUCAAGCCUCAGCAAUGGAGGGUGCUCCUCCCUCAGCCUCUCUUCUACCCUGCAGUUCGAUCUCAGACCUCAUUGCUGUGCUAGCAAUGAGGGAGGUUCCGUGGGCAUGGGACCCUCUGAGCCAGGCUCCCCUAUCUUCCUGGUACAAUGCCCUCAGUGGUGUCAUGCAAGGAGGAGAGCUUUUGCUGUGGGCACAGCCCUCAGAGAAACUACAUCAAGCUUGCCUAACCCGUGGCCCAGGACAGCUUUGGAUGCGACCCAACACAAAUUCAUGGGACCAUCUGGUUGCACGAAAACAAGCUCAGGGGUCCUACUGAUUCUACAUUAUGGU